CUGGCUCAUUUGGCUACAUGGCUCCAGGUAAACCUUAUACCCCAUAGAUGCUGAAGUUCGGGCAUGUCUGAGACCGCUUCUUUAUAAAGCACUUCUUAUAAGUACUUUUGCAAGAAGUGGUUUUCUCUUCUGCUCAUAAAUUUCGCUAAAGCAAUUGACAAAAAACCAAAAUGCUUCUAUGACCCAUAAGCACUUUAAGUUUUUUUGCCAACAGCAGUUAGAAGUGCUUUGAGUUGUUAGAAAAGCACAUUUAGCCCUUCUAAAAGCAAUCUCAAGCAAGCCCUUAGUGCCUAAAGAAGCAUGUGUAUUUUCUUUCAUUUCACAUUAGCAAUCUGUAAACUGGUUUUUCUUACCCUAAAUGCAGAAUACGCCCACACAACGCGAGUGAAUGAAAAGAUCGAUGUGUAUAGUUUUGGGGUCAUCCUUCUGGAGUUGACAACCGGCAGGGAAGCCAACGACGGCGAUGAACACACUGCCCUCGCUGAAUGGGCGUGGCGCCAUGUUCAAGAAGAAAACGCUAUCGCCGAUGCUUUGGACCAGGACGUCAAAGAACCUUGUUACUUGGACGAAAUGUGCUCGGUUUUCAAACUUGGCCUCAGUUGCACAGAGACACUUCCAGCUAGUAGGCCUUCCAUGAAGGUCGUUCUGCAAAUCUUGCUCCGAUGCAGCCGUCCAGUUAUCAACGGUGAAAAGACCGAGUACUUUGCCGCUCCUCUGCUCAAGAACUCGAAGCGCGAGAGGAUUUUGGAAGACUGGAAUGGUAGUUUGGCAACAAAUGUCUGAUGCCUUCAUUCUUCAAUCCAAAUCAACUCGAAAUUCAUCGGGUACUUUUUCUCCCGAGUUGUUCCUCUCGGUCCAAUCCCACCCAUCGGAUCGCACACUCGAUUUCAAGUACUCUCGGAGCUUCUCCGCCCUCCUGUAUUCCACGAAUCGAACGACUUAGUUUUGGCGGUUGAUCUGGGGACACGACAAAUUUGGGGGAAGAUUUAAGAAUUUUGGGGUUUGAAGCGGGGGAAUGGAGUUGGAAAUGGAAACGGCGAUGACGGCGAAGAGAAAAGAGAGUGGUUGCAGAUUAGGGGGGGGGGGCUGGGGUCGUGGUGUGAGGGGUAGGAGAUGCUAGAAAAGAAAAAAAAAAUUGACACGUGGCGUCCAAGUUCACAUAAGCUCUACAUCAUCAGUUAAUGGAGAUUUAACAGUCAGACUAUUGGAUGUAUGAGAUUGUCCCAAAAUUAACACUUUAGGUAUGACUCUGGGACCAAAAAAACUUGAUGUACUAAAUGUUGAAAACCACGAAACUUGAUAAUAGUAAAUUGACAUUUACCUAAAAUAAUAAUAUAGAAGAGUGAGAUGUUUGAGAAAAGAGUAAUGCUAGUAAGACUAAAUUUGUAGACUAAAUUUUGUAAAAUAAAUAACAUGAAAGUUGAUGACUAGAUUAUUACUUAAACGUUGAUAAACUUGCUCAUUUUCUAUUGGUGAUACAUCAUUACUUUGGAGAGAAAAAGAAAGAGAGAUGGAGAAAAUGUGUGGUUUUUAUUUUAUUUUAUUUUAUUUUUAAUAGAGGCGUGCUUCGAAGAAAUGUGGGUAAUCGGAAUAUAGAUUUUCAAAAUCUGAAUAGACAAUGUAUUGUCCCACCCGACAUUGUCAAUAUUAGGGGUAAUCGGAAUAUAGAUUUUCAAAAUCUGAAUAGACAAUGUAUUUUCCCACCCGACAUUGUCAAUAUUAGAUUCUUUAACGGAGGAUAUUCCAUUUUUGAAAAAAUAGGGUUAGUUGUGGUCUCAUCUUAUAUUGAACUUCAAUGAUCUAAAUGUUUAUUUUUCAUAUUGCAUCUCAUAGAUAAUUCUUGUAAAAUAUUUGCCAAAUUAGAAGUAUAUAAUAGGGGUUGGCAUGGGCCGGGCCGGACCCAAAUUUGAAGGGAUUGGACCGGACCUAGGUGCAAAGGAGACAGGCCGGGCCGAGUCAGGGAUUACAUUUUCUUAUAUAGGAAUCAAACCUUACUCGGCCCGGUUGAAACAGGCCGGGUCCACAGGUCCUUGGUUUUUUUUUUUUUUUUAAAAAAAAAAAACUGGUAUUUGCACAUAUUGCACAGAUUCACCAGUGCAGCAGAUUAUGCAAUAGGAAACCCAAAUAAUGCAAGAGGAAAGAUUUCGAAAAUUUUCCAAUUCCAAAUGCACCAACUUCUUUAUAAAAUCUUGAGCAUAAACAUCUCUGAACAAAGCAGAUUAAGACUCAAUAGAUCAAUACUCACAACAGAAACCCAAAUAAUAUAAUCCACAAAAAAUUGAAGCGCAUAGCGAAAUUAACAAAGUUUAAAUAUUUAGCAGGUCAUUAAGUAUAUAAGUAUCAAAAGAAAUACAUGAUAAAUACGAACAUAUCUCGAUAUGAAAAACCCUAAUAUGAAGUUAAGAGUGACCUAACAUACAUGGAGAGAUCAGUACUCUUUAGCCUUAGCAACUUCACUGGCGGUAACAGCGGUAGAUUCCACCGUAGAGCUCGCAAUCUCAGACUCCGUGGUGCCGUUUUGAGCAACAGAAGCAACGGCGUUCCUGGACUUGACAAUGUUGAGCAUGCGUUUGCUGAUCUCCUUGGAGUAAACCUGCAGGAUCUGAAUCUCGUCCUCCUCGAUGAGGGUAGGGGACGACGCACUCGAGACGGCUGGGUUCUGUAAGUCUGGGUCCCUGGGAUGUUAAAUCGAGACAGUGAGAGAGAGGUGAAAGAGAGGUGACAAAUCGAGAAGAUAGUGGUCACAUGGGUCGUAGUACUAUCGGGGUGGUGGAGGGAAAAGGACGACGCACUGAAGAUGGCGAGAGAGACUCGAUCGACAGAGUGAGAGUGAUAGUUGAAUUCGAUAGCUUUGAGGAUGAGCAAACCUAAAACCAACAAUUCAGAUUAAAUGGAGAGAUGAUCUCUUCAAUCUCAUCCGUACAUUCUAACUACAAAGAGCGGGUCCAGGUACCCGUGGUUCCUAUACUUUAGGAACCAGCCCAAAUCGAAAAUUUCAAAGGCCUACCCCGUUUCUGUUUUUACAAAAUAAGAACCGGCCCAUACCCUCCCCGAACCUUAAUUACCCGCCCCGACUCGCAGUUCCUAUACCCGUUUGCCCACCCCUAGUAUAUAAGGCAUCUAGUUGAAUUCAAAGUGAAGAACACUAUAUCACUACUACAAAAUUAUCUAUAACUGGCGGUUCAAAAAUCGACAAAAAACGUAUAUUACUAUCGGAUUUUAAGCAAAAUUUGACAGAAAAUGUAUGCAGUGGCGGAUAUAAUAAACGACAGAAUUGCCUGCGUCAUGAAAUAAAUUUUCCGACAGAAAAUACUCUAAAACCGACAGAAAUCCUGUCGGAUAUAGCCUACAAGAUAUAUAUUUAUAAUAAAUAAAUAAGAGAAUUUAUGUCGGAUAAAACCGACAGAAAAUCCAAAAUCACCAGGAAUUAUGUCGACUAUAACCGAUAGAGAAUUUAUCAUUAAGAAUAAAUAAAAGCAUUCUUGUCGGAUGAAACCGACAGAAAAUAUAUUAAUAAUUAAAAAAAAUAUAAACAACCACUUUCUGCGCAAUAAUCUCUUCUUUCGAACUAAAGAGGAGUAACCAAAACACACAUACAAAUCACACCUCUAGUGUAUUCAUUCUACACAAUGAUCAAGAGUUGUAAUGAACGAAAUAAUUCUACCGAUAUCUUCAAGAAAAGGUCCACUGAGCUUGUUGCUCGAAAGAUCUAAUCCUGUUAAGCUUAUGCAAUUUGCUACACUCCGAGGAAACGGGCCUUUGAGUCCCAAAUCCGAAAGCUUGAUAUUUAAAACUUUGCUUUCGUGAGGGUGCCAACACUCGAUUCCCAGAAAGUUAUAGAUGAAACCUUCGGUCUUAUUGCUGAAAUCCCAUGAUGAGUUUAAGUAGCCUAAAGGAUCCUGAAGUGAUGGUUUUAGACUUUUCAAGCAUUUUAUAUCACUCUCAAUAGCAAAGUUGAAACUACAACUAAGCAAUAACCAGACCACACCGCCAAAGAAAAUACCAGGAUCUCGUCCAUUCAACAACAUAUACAUCGAAAAAGCCAUAAAAAUUGCCUAAAUUCGCUAUUUAUUGUUACCGAAGCUCAAUAUACUGAAUCCACACCACAACAUUAGGAACACCAAGCCCUGAAACAAAUCCAAAAGCAACAUGAAAUGAACCCAAAUCAGACCAACAAACACUCAAGUUUUACAAAAUUUCGCAUAACUAACACCAAAUUUGGAAAUAAAUUAUGAAAACAGUACAGGAAACAAAACCCAAUUCAUUAUCUCUCUACCAAAAGGUGCAAAUACAUGUGUAAAAAGCAACAAUUUAAUUGAUGAAACAUGCAAAUUCAAAAUUCACAAAAUACAAACCAGAACAAACACACAGAAAGUCAAAGGCCUUACUUGAUCCAAUUGAGUUUGACCCAAGUCUCCAGAAACACAAAUGCAUACACACAUAUAUACAUACAAAAAUCCAGCUAAAAGUUUAAAGCUCGGAUCAUUGAAGCGAAACGAAGACUUUGAGUGGGUUCCCAAGAAGACAGUCACCACCUAGCUUAGAACUUAAACGACAUUCGCCGGAAUUCGUGGCUGUGAUGACAUGCAUGCACAUAUUCAAAACAGAGAUUAAACCCUAUAGAUUUUCGCCAUAAUACUCAUCACAGAUGGAUUAGAACCCACACAACCAAGAGGGGAAAAUAAUUCAUACGUGAGAUGGAGUUCAAGAGAUCUGAAGCUCUCAGCAUUAAUGGCAGAGCACACGAUGAUGCAUCGAUGAUACAUGCAAUGCUGCAGGUGUUGGGUUUUUUCCAGCCCAUGAUUAGUUGUCCUAAGUCUAUUGGGAAUUAAUAGUCUUAGAGGAUUAAAUUGUUUUCCCAAUUGGAGUUGUUUUCCCAAUUGGAGUUAGUUUCUCAAUUGGAGUAGGAUUCAUAACUAGAUUCCAAUUAGGAUUAAUAAUCCUUAUUGAAGAAGACCUUUAUUAUGUCUAUAUAAAGGGGCUAUUGUACUAGUUUUAAGGAGGGAGCAAAACAAUAAAUUGUAUACCACUCAAGGGAUUAGAGUGAGAGAAUAUUGUAAAGUGUGUGCGAGAGAAAAGAAAAGAGAUAGUGUAUUUCUUGUUCUUGUUAUUUCAGGUUUUUCGUCAAAUCUUAGUUCUAGAGAUUUGGCAAGAUUAUUGGUUGUACUCAUUAUUGAUAUAGUGAAAGAUUGUUGUUGCUGUCCCGUGGACGUAAGCACAUAUUGUCGAACCAUGUAAAUUCUUGGUGUUAUUUAUCUUGGUUAUUUGUUUUUCGAUUUCCGGAGUUUGUUCUUGUUUUUCCCAUUCUUAAACGCGAUAUUCUCAACAAGUGGUAUCAGAGCCUGGUUCGGCUGAUAUCCGUUUAGAAUGGAGGGUUCAAUUAUGAUGAAACUCACCCACUCCAACUGGGUUACGUGGAAAUCAAGAAUGGAGGACAUGCUUUAUUGUAAAGAUAGCCAUGAGCCAAUUGAAGGUGUUAAGAGCAAGCCAGAAAAUAUGUCUGAUGCCAAUUGGACCAAGAUGAAUCGUAAAACUAUUGGUACGAUUAGACAAUGGGUGGACGAGAGCAUCUAUCACCAUGUGUCUAAAGAAACUGAUGCGCAAGCUCUUUGGAAGAAGUUAGAAUCCCUCUUUGAGAAGAAGACCGCUGCCAAGAAAGCAUUCCUUAUCAAAAAGCUUGUCAACAUGAAGUAUGCGGAAGAUGUUAGUGUAACCGAGCACUUGAACAACUUUCAGAACGUGAUCAAUCAGGUAGUCACUAUGGGUUUGAAUAUUGAAGAAGAACUGCUAGCACUUUUAUUGCUAGGAUCCUUGCCAGAUAGUUGGGAAACCUUCGUCGUAACUGUAAGCAAUUCGGUUUCUAAUGGUGUACUGUCUAUGGAUGCCGUUAAGGAUAUCAUGUUUAAUGAAGAAACAAGGAGAAAAGCUUCAGGGGCAAGCGCUGGACAACUCUUUGUCAGUGAGAAAAGAGGCAAAAAUUCUGGUGAGACGAGAUUCAAUGGCGACUGCCACUAUUGUGGGAAAAAGGGUCACAUGAAGAAGCAUUGUCGUAAACGGAAAAAGGAACAAAAGGAUGGGAACAAUAUUGCAAGUGUUGUGACUUACGAUGAAGAGCUUCUUUAAUGUAGAUGAUUGAUGGUUUUAUGGCAAAGAAGUCUAUAAUUGCCUUUGCCAAUGACGAUGGGUGUUGCGAUCAGGGGGAGCCUGGUCAAGAGAAAUCUAAUCAGGAGGGUCUUGGUUAAUGAGUAGUUCAAUCAAGGGGAGCUUGGUUAUGGGUAAUUCGAUCAGGGGGAGUCUGGUCAUGAAAAGUUCGAUCAAUGGGAGUUUGGUCAAGAAGAGCAAUCCUAUUAUGGUAUACCUUCCUCAUGGUCUGGAGGGGGAGAUUGUUGGGUUUUUUCCAACCCAUGAUUAGUUGUCCUAAGUCUAUUGGGAAUUAAUAGUCUUAGAGGAUUAAAUUGUUUUCCCAAUCGGAGUUGUUUUCCCAAUUGGAGUUAGUUUCUCAAUUGGAAUAGGAUUCAUAACUAGAUUCCAAUUAGGAUUAAUAAUCCUUAUUGAAGAAGACCUUUAUUAUGUCUAUAUAAAGGGGCUAUUGUACUAGUUUUAAGGAGGGAGCAAAACAAUAAAUUGUAUACCACUCAAGGGAUUAGAGUGAGAGAAUAUUGUAAAGUGUGUGCGAGAGAAAAGAAAAGAGAUAGUGUAUUUCUUGUUCUUGUUCUUUCAGGUUUUUCGUCAAGUCCUAGUUCUAGAGAUUUGGCAAGAUUAUUGGUUGUACUCAUUAUUGAUAUAGUGAAAGAUUGUUGUUGUUGUCCCGUGGACGUAAGCACAUAUUGCUGAACCACGUAAAUUCUUGGUGUUAUUUAUCUUGGUUAUUUGUUUUUCGAUUUCCGGAGUUUGUUCUUGUUUUUCCCAUUCUUAAACGCGAUAUUCUCAACAGCAGGUUGAUUCCCCAUGUCCCAAGGGUUCGAGGUUUAGAUUUUUUAGGGUUGAUUUGGUCAGAAUUGAGAGGAAUGGUGGGGGUUCCUUCUCGGAGCUUAGAGAGAAAGAGUGUGUGUGUGUCGAGAGUUAGAGUUAGGUUUCAGAAAAAUGAAGGAGAGGAGUGGAGGUCGGAUGUGGGUAUAAGAAAAUUUUCAUUAUUGUUGAUUAAAACUUACAGAAUUUUUUUUUAAAAUAUAAACUGACAGCAAAUUUUCAUUCCUGUCGGUUAUAACCAACAGAACAAAAAAUGGCGGAAAAAUUCACCCCCAAAAUUCCCUCCCAAAAUUUUGUUACGAUUUUAAAAAAUAAAAUAAUAAUUGUUUGGUUUAAUAAAUAAAUAAAUAUAUAUGUAUUUAAGUAGAAUACGUUUUUAAAAAUUAAAUAAAUAAAAAAAAUUUGGUCGAAAAUAAAUAAUUGUUUGGUUUAAAAGAUAAUAACCUAUGUAAAAUAUGCAAUAAAGAAACAAAAAGAUAAUUGUAUAAUGAAAAUGUCAUCACAAUAAAAUAUUGUCUAAUCAAUACUUGAAAAACAUAAAUAAGAAUGCAAUGAACGAAUUCGAUCUUCAAUUUAAAAUAUUUACACUAGUGGAUACCAAAAACUCUUAUUUUAUACUUAAUGGAAGUAUAAUAUUAACUCUAAGUGUUUGUUUAAUCUACCAUUUUGACGUGAUAUGUCUUCUACGAAACUUUUUUCAACGAUCCAACCGUCAAACUUAUUUGUACACACUCCGAGAUUGUAUAUGUAAAAAAUCGUAAAAAACAAACAUUCAGAGAUUACGUAACGGAACAAAAGUUUUCGACGGUUAUAAAUGAAAAAUCAUAAUUUAACAGUUUAUUUUAGCUCCUGUUUUGAUGAUUUUUUUACAGCUACACUCCUCGACCCUAUAAGAAUGCAAUGAACGAAUUCGAUCUUCAAUUUAAAAUAUUUACACUAGUUGAUACCACAAAAUCUUAUUUUAUACUUAAUGGAAGUAUAAUAUUAACUCUAAAUGUUUGUUUAAUCUACCGUUUUGACACGAUAUGCAUUCUACGAAACUUUUUUCAAUGAUCCAACUGUCAAACUUAUUUGUACACACUCCGAGAUUGCAUACGUAAAAAAUCGUAAAAAACAAACAUUCAAAGAUUACAUAAUGGAACAAAAGUUUUCGACGGUUAUAAACGAAAAAUCACAAUUUAACAGUUUAUUUUAGCUCCGAUUUUAAUGAUUUUUUACAGCUACACUCCUUGACCCUAUAAGAAUGCAAUGAAUAAAUUUGAUCUUCAAUUUAAAAUAUGUAUACUAGUGGAUACCACAAAAUCUUAUUUUAUACUUAAUGGAAAUAUAACAUUAACUCUUAAGUGUUUAUUUAAUCUACCGUUUUGACGCGAUACACAUUCUACGAAACUUUUUUCAAUGAUCUAACAGUCAAACUUGUUUGUACACACUUUGAGAUCGCAUACCUAAAAAAUCACAAAAAAUAAACAUUCAGAGGUUAGGUAACAGAACAAAAGUUUUCGACGGUUAUAAAUGAAAAAUCAUAAUUUAACGGUUAUUUUAGCUCUGAUUUUGAUGAUUUUUUACAGCUACACUUCUCGAUCCUAUAAGAAUGCAAUGAAUGAAUUUGAUAUUCAAUUUAAAAUAUUUACACUAGUAGAUAUCACAAAAUCUUAUUUUAUACUUAAUGGAAGUAUAAUAUUAAUUCUAAGUGUUUGUUUAAUCUACUGUUUUGACGCGAUAUGCAUUCUACGAAACUUUUUUCAAUGAUCCACAAAAUCUUAUUUUAUACUUAAUGGAAGUAUAACAUUAACUCUUAAGUGUUUAUUUAAUCUACCGUUUUGAUGCGAUACACAUUCUACGAAACUUUUUUCAAUGAUCUAACUGUCAAACUUGUUUGUACACACUCCGAGAUCGCAUACGUAAAAAAUCACAAAAAACAAACAUUCAGAGAUUAGGUAACAAAACAAAAGUUUUCGAUGGUUAUAAACGAAAAAUCAUAAUUUAUCGGUUAUUUUAGCUCCGAUUUUGAUGAUUUUUUACAGCUACACUCCUCGACCCUAUAAUAAUGCAAUGAACGAAUUUGAUCUUCAAUUUAAAAUAUUUACACUAGUGGAUACCACAAAAUCUUAUUUUAUACUUAAUGGAAGUAUAAUAUUAAUUCUAAGUGUUUGCUUAAUCUACCGUUUUGACGCGAUAUGCAUUCUACGAAACUUUUUUCAACGAUCCACAAAAUCUUAUUUUAUACUUAAUGGAAGUAUAACAUUAACUCAUAAGUGUUUAUUUAAUCUACCAUUUUGACGCGAUACACAUUCUACGAAACUUUUUUCAAUGAUCUAACUGUCAAACUUGUUUGUACACAAUCCGAGAUCGCAUACCUAAAAAAUCCCGAAAAACAAACAUUCAGAGAUUAGGUAACAUAACAAAAGUUUUCGACGGUUAUAAACGAAAAAUCACAAUUUAUCGGUUAUUUUAGCUCCGAUUUUGAUGAUUUUUUACAGCUACCCUCCUUGAUCCUAUAAGAAUGCAUUGAAUGAAUUCAAUCUUCAAUUUAAUAUAUUUACACUAGUGGAUAAUUUUUUAUACUUAAUGGAAGUAUGACAUUAACUCUUAAGUGUUUGUUAAAUCUGUUAAUUUGAUAAGAUAUGCAUUCUACGAAACUAGUUUUAGCGAUCCAAUCGUCAAAUAUGUUUGUAUAUACUCAGAGACAACAUGUAUAAAAAAUCGCAAAAAAAAAUAAAAAUAAGAGAUUAGGUAACGGAACCGUGAGUGAAAAAAAUAUUUAAGCCAUUUGUUUAUUUAUUUAUAAUCAAUAUAAGACUUUAAAAUAAUAAAAUAGUCAAUUUCUGUCGGUUAUAACCGCCAGAAUACUAAAAUAAUAAAAUAGUCAAUUUAUGUCAGUUAUAACCGCCACCAUUAACUUAGACCGCCAUAAUAUGUUAAAAAUAUUAAAAAGAAAAGAAUUCAAAAAUACUGAGGGUUAUAAUAAUUUUAUGGCGGUUAAAUCCACCAAGAAUUUUUGUCGGAUAUAUCUGACAGAAAUUAACUUUUAUCCGACACUAAAUAAAUUAUAUGUCGGAUAUCUUUUAUCCGUCAGAAUGACUUAAUAACCACCACCAUCGUCCGACAUCUAAAGCUAAUAUUGUAGUAGUGUAUCCUAAGAAAUACUGAAAUUUCAUUAUGACAAUUAAAUGAGUAAAUAGUUUCAGAUUGAACUGAAUUUAUGCAUAAAUAAUCUAUGAAUCAAAACUUACAAAAUAAACGUUCGGAUAGUUGAAAUUUGAUAUGAAAUGGCUUGCACAACUAAGCACAGCAAAAGAGACUGGCGCUUAACCAUUAUACUGUGAAGCAUGGACGUCAUUAGUUGCGUUAUAUAUAAGUAAUUUAAAAACCAAAUGAUUCAUGAAGAAUUAGGAACUCCUAAUCUCAAAGGAACAAGGAAAAUAUAAUUAAAAUAUUUAUAAAUAAUACAAUUAGGGCAGUGACUAAAUGGGAGCCGUAGUGACUGGGGUGGUUAACAUCACAUGCCUCUAAGCAAAGAGGUCACGGUGAGUCAUCAAUCUUCCCAACGGCUUGCACACCGACAUGUGAGUAUAUGACUUAGAUCAAUAUUUGAAGAAAUUGGCUUCUUCUUCUUUAAGUCGUCAUUUUAAUUUAUCUGUUAAUUACAGUUUGACACGUGAGUAAAAAGUUGUUACUAAUAUGUGUUUGGACCCGAUUUUACACAUCGGCCUAAGCAAUCGAGGCCGUUGAGUAAGCAUGGUUCUCAACCGUUGGAUAAGAAAGUUUAGAUAUUAUUGUUAAGAGAUAAUAUUAUGAUUUUUAGUCAUAAUAAUUAUUUUUUUAAUAAGCUAUCUCGGUUUUUUAUGCAAAAUAAAUGGGAUGGAGGCAAGUAGAGUUGUGAUGGGGACGUGAGCUUUGAAUCAGGUUGGUUUGUUUUUCUGGACAUGCAUGCAUGGGAUUUAAAGAUAAUGAAGUGAUAGGGGAUAAAUCCAAACAUGCCAAAACGUGUAAUUUGCAAAAGAAUUGUGCAAUAUGGAGAUUCUAUCCUAAUGCAUGGUUUUUUGGGAUUGGUUUUGUGCACGUGGCAUGCUACAAUGGAGAUGAUGGUUUUGCAUGGUGAUGGCAAUAUGGGUUUAAAGGUUUCUCAUGUUUUUUAAUAAGAAGCCUAGGUGGGUUAGAUCUCUAGUGAGAUGUGAUAAAGCCUAGGUAGGCUUUAUUUAUCUGAAGGAUAUGUGCGGCGUAUUUGAUACGGGAUCAGGGUUUAUCUGAAGGAUAUGCGCGUCAUAUUUGAUACAGGAUCAAGGUCAAUUCCACAAAAUAGAGUUGCACUUGGACUCUACAAAAUUAUCAGGCCAUGCCAAGCAAGUACAUCAGCCUAUAAAUACAAAGGCAGUGCAUCAUUCGAGAGACCCCCUGCAAAUCAAUACAAAAUUGCCCUGCGCAAACUCUCACAACUUGUGAUUUUUCUUUUCCUUUUUUCGCUGACACAUCUUCCGUUGGCAUCAACAGCACUGUGGAAGCAACCGGUGAUAUCUUAAGUCGGCAUAUAUAGCUCUGUCACCGUAGAGUCAGUCGGUCUCGCAGUAUCUUCCGUUGGCAUCAACAGCACUGCGGCGAGAACGAUUGAUUACCUAUCCAAGUCUCGGUCGAAAAGGGUUUCUAAAUCCUUAUUGGUCGAGGUCAUCUCAUCAGCCUUCUCGGCGAAGUGAGGUGUUACAGUUAUUACAUUCGGCACAUUGAAAGCCGAAUUUGAUAUCGAACUUCGUAAGAAUAGUAACCUUGUCUUCAGGUUCGAGAGCCCAAGAGGCCGAGACGUGUUCCUUUCUCGGCCGCAAUCGCAAGACGCAGAAGUCAGUAGCGCGACCCCCUGCAAAUCAAUACAAAAUUGCCCUGCGCAAACUCUCACAACUUGUGAUUUUUCUUUUCAUUUUUUCGCUGACACAUCUUCCGUUGGCAUCAACAGCACUGUGGAAGCAACCGGUGAUAUCUUAAGUCGGCAUAGAUAGCUCUGUCACCGUAGAGUCAGUCGGUCUCGCAGUAUCUUCCGUUGGCAUCAACAGCACUGCGGCGAGAACGAUUGAUUACCUAUCUAAGUCUCGGUCGAAAAGGGUUUCUAAAUCCUUAUUGGUCGAGGUCAUCUCAUCAGCCUUCUCGGCGAAGUGAGGUAUUACAGUUAUUACAUUCGGCACAUUGAAAGCCGAAUUUGAUAUCGAACUUCGUAAGAAUAGUAACCUUGUCUUCAGGUUCGAGAGCCCAAGAGGCCGAGACGUGUUCCUUUCUUGGCCGCAAUCGCAAGACGCAGAAGUCAGUAGCGCGACCCAACGCAACAUCAAUAAAUUUACUCCUCGGCCGAGCUCGGCCGACGAGUUGGCACGCCCCGCAUUCACCGAAGAACGUAGUUAGCUCAUUAAUUACUCGGCCUGCGCGCCACGUAGGCUUUGUAGUUUCUAGGGUCAACAAUAUGUCAUCAGAAUAAAUUGCACGCCCAUAAGUUAUGUACUUUAAUGAGUUACUAUGGUCUCAAAAAUUCAGACAAUCCAAUGUUCGUAACAUUCAAUGAUACGUAGCAUGGAAGUUGAACCUGAAAAAUAGAUCAAUUGUUUCUUCUUCUUUUUUUCCCAUAAAAAGGAACCAGUUAGUGGUUUCGUCACGUCAAUCUACCAUUACAGGAACAGGGAAGACUCACAAAGGCAUUUCAACCUCUUCCUAACUACCAUCUUAUAAUUCACCAGCGCCUUAAAUCGAACCCAGAUUGAUCAAAGAUUUGGCUAUUGAUUUUUAGGAAAACUAAUGAAAAGAGGUUGAAAACUUUGAGUUUUAGUGAUAAGGACAAAAUAAAGAGUAAAGUGAAUAGUACCAGAUUUGACUUUUUAGUGUAAAAAUAUGGUUUUACGUUAAAGUAAACUGUAACGCAGACUUUUCGUUAAAACUCUCUUGAUUUUUCAGUAUCAGUUUCUAGAAAUCAUGGAAUCCAUAUAGUUGUUGGUCUAAGAACAUGCAUUUUUUUGGUUUUUUUUUAUUGUUUGGGGGCCGGGAUGCACUGAACUGUCCGAGUGGGUGGGUGGGUAAUAAUAAUAUGCAGUCAAUCCCAGAUUGAUCAAAGAUUUGGCUAUUGAUUUUUCAGUAUCAGUUUCUAGAAAUAAGGGAAUCCAUAUAGUUGUUGGGUCUAAGACCAUGCAUUUUUUUGGUUUUUUUAUUUUUUAUUUUUUUUUGGGGGGGGGGGGGGGGGGGGGGGGGUGGGGGGGGGGAAUGCACUGAACUGUCCGAGUGGGUGGGUGGGGUAAUAUGCAGUCGAUCCAAUGAUCAUUUUCUCUUGUUUUCUCCUAGCACCCCACACGAAUGUUUGAACAUUUUGUGCAUCUUCCAGAACAUUAGGAGAAUAAACACCACCUACAAAACCCCUUGUUUUCCAAUGCCACUUGGUCACCUUCUGCCCUUGUUUUCCAAAAGUAAUUUCCGUACAUGUUUUUUCUCAUCUUGCAUACUCGGUAUUUAAAUUGAUUAAUCAUAAAGCUUUGAUACUUAACACCAAUGUUCUAAACGACGCUAUGUGUUAGCUGGGCGGUGGGUUAGGGUCUAGAGCCUAGGUGGCUAGAUAGAGCUUAGGUGGGGGACUAUGUGAAUUUAAGUAAAUUUAUUGUAUAUCGUAUAAAUAAGUAUCUGUUUAUAUUUAAAAAAUAUAUAACUUUAUUGGGAUAUAUAAACUGAAAAAUAGAAGGACAUGUAGAUUAUGAAAUAUUACAACAUGAAAGUUAUCUAUUUUUUGUCUAAGUGAAAGUCGCAAUCUAAGCUGGUGUCUAGGCGGGCGUCUAAACGGAUCUAAGCGUUCUUUUUUAAUUUUCAAACGCUUAAAAAUUAAUCAAGACGGUAGUUAACCGUCUAGCACCUAAGUAAAACUUAGACGGCGUUCGGUAAAGAUUUUUAAAACAAGGCCUGAUGCAAUCCCCCUCCUCAUUUGCGUCUAUAUCAGUGAAACCCAGGCCAGCUGUUUUCAUUCCUCCAAAUCAUAAAUUUCGACGGAAAAAAUGGAAUCAAAAUCCGUAUCUUUGAUUAGGUCAAAGUCUUCCACAAGAAAAUAUAAUAAUUUCAUUCAACGAAGGCGUUCGUCCACGCUUCAGAUUCGAGGAAACUUCAUUGCCUUUCUUUCCUUGCCUUCCACGUAUGUCACGUUCCCGCUAACGGACAAAGGGGAAUUGAAUUUCUUGCAACCUAAAACAUUUUUUUUUUUUUUUGAGAACUGCAACCUAAAACUUUGGUAAAUUAUAUUUUAACUUACAAGCAUGCGGUUUCCCAACAUCACCACCAGUGACAAUUGACUGCUGGAAUACCCCUUCAAUGAAAUCACGACAUCUGUUCUAUUAAUAAAUCUAGAAGGUUUAUCUUUUAAAAAAUUAAUUAAUUAAAAACUAAAACUGAAAGAUUCAAAUACAAAAUAUGCAGGCCAUACAACCCCUCUCCGGCGAGACACGCCAACCCCAAUCUCGUCCAAAUCUGGUACCACUCCACCUCCCUCUCUUCCUCUUCCUCAUAGACGAAGAACAACAGGCAGAGAGUGGCGGAUGGAGUUUCUCCAAUCGAUAACCCGCCGACGCUAUAUGCCCCCGCUGGAACCCAUGUGGACCAUCUUCCUCGUCGUCAUCUUCAUCAGCCUGAUGUUCGAGUUUUUCUUUGACGAGAAAACUUUGCUCCUUGCUGGGUUUUUUUGUGAUGGGUAUGAAACUGCGAGGCCGACGAGCACAGGAGCCGACUCACUGAGUUAAUGGUGGCGCGAGUUAGCGAUUAUAGUGGGGGUUGAGAGAUUCGAUGACUCAAUUUUUUCCAAGAAUAUAUGGCCAAAUUUGCGUUCUUCUUUUCCCGUAUUUGAGAAAGAAGGAUGAAAUAGAAAUUGCGAGGAGGACGGAUCGGACGCCGGGUGGGGGGAGCUGUGGGUUGUUGGCGCGACUGUCGAAUUGUUUUGUUUUAGUUUUUAUUUUAAUUGAAUUUCUUAAAAAAAAUUAAAUCAGAUAGAUUCUUUAUUGGGGCACGUGGCAUCUCCGAUUAGAUGUGUACACAUAUAUUAAAGUCAACUGGUUGGGAUUCUGAUCUUCAUCUCAUAUCCCUAUGUAAAACUAAAACCUAAUUCAAAAACGAAAACGAAAAUACUCGGUUCCUUUAUAUGUAUGUAAGAAGUCACACUUUUUUAUAAAUAAAUUACAAUUUGAUAUGCGAGCAUAAAUUUCUUUUUUUACGGUUUUAAUAAGUAAAAUAUUAUCAUUAGAGGCUUAAAAUAUUAUUAAUUUACGUGUCAAACUGCAAUUGUAUGUAUCGAGAAAAAGUGACGGAAGUAAGCAAGUGCAAAUAAAAAACUGUGAAUAUGAGUUAACAGCUAAGUGAUAGGUACAACCCCACAAGAAUUGGUGGGUUUUUUACACUUUCCCCAUUGACCAUAAAUUUUUAAAGUCCUCCCCCACUAAAACUCCAAACCAUUUGUGACCCUGCAAUGAUUCUGGAAAAUCCCCCAAUUUCUAACGUCUAUUUAGAUUCAAUUUCAUAUCCCAUACAAAGGAUCACAUCCUCCGAGCUCUAACUUGUCCUCAAUUCAACCGCGGGAACCAACGAACUUUUGAAAUCCCCCUCCCUCCACAUGGCUAAACACACCCCAACAUCUUCUCUCCAAACCCACCUCCACCUCCUCCUCCUUCUCCUCCUCCUCCUCCUCCUCCGCCAUGCCAACUCCCAAUCCCUCCAAGACCAAGAACAAGCAGUCCUUCUGAAACUCAAGUCCUACUUAGAUUCUCCACCAUCUCUCAGCCAUUGGAUCCCAUCAAACUCAAACACUUCUUCCCACUGCUCCUGGCCUGAAAUUUCCUGCACAAACAACUCCGUCACUGGAUUGCUUCUCGUCAACUUGAACAUAACCCUACCGGUUCCACCCUUCAUCUGUGAUCUCACAAACCUCACACUCGUCGAUCUCAACACCAACUAUCUCACCGGAGAAUUCCCAAAAUCUCUCUACAAGUGUUCCAAACUAGAGUACUUAGACCUCUCACAAAACUACUUUGUAGGCCCGAUUCCUGAUGACAUCGACAGCCUGCCCCGGCUUAAGCAGCUUAUCCUCGCCGGAAACAACUUCUCCAACAUUCCUCCUGCGAUAGGGCGGUUGCAAGAGCUCGAGAAUCUUCAGCUGUGGAUGAACCAGUUCAAUGGCUCUGUCCCACCAGAAAUAGGUAACUUGUCCAAUCUCAAAGACCUAAACAUGUCUUGGAACACAAAACUUGUGCCUUGGACCUUGCCUUCCAAUUUCACCAAGUUGAAAAAGCUCAGUAAUUUAUGGAUACGCCAAUCGAACUUGAUUGGAGAGCUUCCUGAGACACUUGGGGAGAUGGAAGCAUUGGAAGUAAUUGAUUUGGCAAUAAACACUUUGAGUGGGAGGAUCCCGAACAGUUUGUUUACGUUGAAGAAUUUGAGUAUAGUCUAUCUCUUCAAGAACACGCUUUCCGGGGAGGUUCCUCAAGUGAUUGAGUCAUGGAACUUGAGCAUUCUUGAUAUCUCUGAGAACACUUUAUCAGGGACAAUACCAGAAGAGUACGGCAAUCUUACCAAAUUAACUCAGUUGGCUUUGUUUCUCAAUGAUUUUUCGGGUGAAAUUCCCAAGAGCAUUGGCCGCCUGCCAAACCUCAGAGACUUCAAAAUCUUCAACAACAAUUUUUCAGGAACAUUGCCUCCAGAGCUUGGGAAGUACUCAAAGCUCGAAGCUUUUCAAGUUUGCGUCAAUAGGCUAACAGGAAAACUGCCAGAUGAUUUGUGCUAUUGGGGUAAGCUGGACGAUGUUAUAGCUUAUGGGAAUCAUCUGAGUGGAGAAUUGCCAAGCUCUCUUGGAAAUUGCAGCAGUUUGAAGACUGUCAAGGUUCAAGAUAACAUGCUGUCUGGAAACAUUCCUAGCGGUAUGUGGACGGCUCCAAACUUGACUACUGUGCUGGUGAGCAACAACUCGCUUACUGGCAAGCUUCCUGAGAAGAUGUCAUCAGAUCUUUCGCGGUUGGAAAUGCGAGACAACAAAUUUUCGGGCAACAUUCCAACCGGGGUGUCUUCCUGGACAGGUUUGAAGGUUUUUGACGCCGGUAAUAACCACUUAAGCGGUGCCGUUCCUCGGGAAUUAACCGCGCUUUCUAGCUUAAUGACUCUUUCUCUGGAUCAGAAUCAGCUCACCGGCUCCCUUCCAUCGGAUAUUGUGUCGUGGGAGUCACUCGCUAGUCUUAAUUUCAGUCGAAAUCAGCUCUCUGGAACAAUUCCUGAGAAGCUUGGUCUUCUGCCGGGACUUACUGGAUUAGACCUUUCAGCAAACCAACUUUCUGGCGAAAUUCCAGACCAACUCGGGCGUCUGAAGCUCAACCAAUUCAAUCUCUCUUCCAAUCAACUCUCCGGGGAUAUCCCUAUCGAAUUUGAAAACGCUGCGUAUGAAGGAAGCUUCUUGGACAAUCAGGCCUCUGCGCACCUAGCUCAGCGGCAAUAAAGCUCCCCAUAUGCAAUUCUGAAUUCCGAAAGUCCAGUAAACUUUCGUCGAAAUCUCUUGCACUGAUCUUAUCUUUAGGCAUACUAUUGUGCUUGUUGGCUUUUUCCAUCACGGUCAUCGUGGUCAGAAGUUACUGGAAGAGAAAUGGUGAUUCUAACUGGAAGCUCAACUCAUUUCAGAGGUUGAAUUUCUCAGUGUCGAAAAUCCUAUCGGGGUUGACUGAACGUAAUCUGAUUGGAAGUGGUGGAUCAGGAAAAGUUUAUCGCGUUCCUGUGAAUCGCGUUGGUGGUGUUGUUGCUGUGAAGAAGAUUUGGAAGAAUAAGAAUUUAGAAGAGAAGCUUGAGAAAGAGUUUCUUGCAGAAGUCAAGAUCUUGAGCUCAAUUCGACACGCCAACAUAGUGAAGCUGAUGUGCUGCAUUUCCAGUAAGACUUCAAAACUUCUCGUCUACGAGUACUUAGAUAAUCGGAGCCUGGAUCGAUGGCUGCACAGGAGAAACAGGCCAUCCAAUCUCUCGGGGUCAGUCCAACAUGUCGCGCUCGACUGGCCUAAGAGGUUGCAGGAUUGCAGUGGGGGCAGCUCAGGGCCUCAGCUAUAUGCACCACGACUGCGUGCCGCCUGUUGGUGCAUCGUGACGUGAAAUCGAGCAACAUUUUGUUGGACUCCGAUUUCAAUGCAAAAAUAGCAGACUUUGGUCUGGCUAAGAUGUUGGUCAAGCAAGGAGAACUUGCUACAAUGUCAUCUGUUGCUGGCUCCUUUGGCUACAUGGCUCCAGGUAAACCUUAUACCCCACAAAUGCUGAAGUUCGGGCAUGUCUGAGACCGCUUCUUUAUAAAGCACUUCUUAUAAGUACUUUUGCAAGAAGUGGUUUUCUCUUCUGCUCAUAAACUUGUGCUAUAAGCAAUUGACCAAAAAAAAAAAAAUAAAGCUUCUAUGACCCAUAAGCACUUUUUAAGUUUUUUUACCAACUGCAGUUAGAAGUGCUUUGAAGUUGUUAGAAAAACACAUAUAGCCCUUCUAAAAGCAAUCUCAAGCAUGCCCUUAGUGCCUAAAGAAGCAUGUGUAUUUUCUUUCAUUUCCAUUAGCAAUCUGUAAACUGGUUUUUCUUACCCUAAAUGCAGAAUACGCUCACACAACGCGAGUGAAUGAAAAGAUCGAUGUGUAUAGUUUUGGGGUCAUCCUUCUGGAGUUGACAACCGGCAGGGAAGCCCAUGACGGCGAUGAACACACUGCCCUUGCUGAAUGGGCGUGGCGCCAUGUUCACGAAGAAAAUGCUAUCCCUGAUGCUUUGGACCAGGACGUCAAAGAACCUUGUUACUUGGACGAAAUGUGCUCGGUUUUCAAACUUGGCCUCAGUUGCACAGAGAGACUUCCAGCUAGUAGGCCUUCCAUGAAGGUCGUUCUGCAAAUCUUGCUCCGAUGCAGCCGUCCAGUUAUCAACGGUGAAAAGACCGAGUAC
rnacentral:lncRNA from 1 species